AGUAAAUAAAAGAAAGACAAUAGGAGUCCUCUCAAUAGCCGAGGGCCCACUUCCCUAUAUGCGCUUACGGAAGGGGAAAGGCUUGAUUCUCAUAGAUUAGACAAUACACAUGUGCAAACAAGAAAAUCAAACUAUCUUCUUAUUGAUACUAUAUAUUUAUCCUUUCCCCUAUAGAUCCACCUUUCUUCAAAAUAAAGUCUUCUUAUUGAUACUAUAUAUUUAUCCUUUCCCCUAUAGAUCCACCUUUAUUCAAAAUAAAGAUAUAUCAACUAAAAGAAAGCUAAAUCGAAUCGGAAUAGGAUAAAGAAUGCACGAAGGAUCAGAGAGAAAGAGGAUUCUAAAAGCGAAAAGCCUAGAAGACUAGAUUGUCAGACUUGGAGGUAGUAGUAAGAUAUCUGUCUCCUGAGAAGGCAUGAGGUUUUUCUAAAAGUCUCCUCUCAUUACUUAUGGAUAAAACUCUUAAGCUUAAGCUUUUACGAACUGAAAGAUCUCCCCAUUCUAAUUAAGAAUGAGAGUCUUUCAAAUAGAUGUGCUCAUUUGGCUUCAUGAAUCCCUUUGCUAGAAAGAAGAAGACCCAC
rnacentral:lncRNA from 1 species